AUUGAACGCUGGCGGCAUGCUUUACACAUGCAAGUCGAACGGCAGCGCGGGCUUCGGCCUGGCGGCGAGUGGCGAACGGGUGAGUAAUGCAUCGGAACGUGCCCAGUAGUGGGGGAUAGCCCGGCGAAAGCCGGAUUAAUACCGCAUACGACCAGAGGGUGAAAGCGGGGGACCGAAAGGCCUCGCGCUAUUGGAGCGGCCGAUGUCGGAUUAGCUAGUUGGUGGGGUAAAGGCUUACCAAGGCGACGAUCCGUAGCUGGUCUGAGAGGACGACCAGCCACACUGGGACUGAGACACGGCCCAGACUCCUACGGGAGGCAGCAGUGGGGAAUUUUGGACAAUGGGGGCAACCCUGAUCCAGCCAUGCCGCGUGCGGGAAGAAGGCCUUCGGGUUGUAAACCGCUUUUGUUCGGGAAGAAAUCCUCUGGGCUAAUACCCCGGGGGGAUGACGGUACCGGAAGAAUAAGCACCGGCUAACUACGUG
rnacentral:rRNA from 1 species